CCUGCUACGACUUCUUCGACGGCAACUUCCCCUACUGCUACCACGACGACCAGUGUCCACCGGGCAAGAAAUGCUGCACAGACGGCUGCUCCCAAAGGAAAAUCUGUGUGCCCGUCUGAGUCAUGUCCCAGCGAGUGCAUGGCACAUGACACGAACUUUUCCUGUGGGUGUCACGAACUUUCUUCUGUUGGUUUAACAUCUCAUCUCUGAAAUGCACAGGUGUCAUUUGACCAAUAAAUUUAGAUCGGAAUUC